UACAGAGGGUGCAAGCGUUGUUCGGAAUUAUUGGGCGUAAAGCGCGUGUAGGCGGCCCGGCAAGUCAGGUGUGAAAGCCCUCGGCUUAACCGAGGAAGUGCGCCUGAAACUAUCGGGCUUGAGUACCGGAGAGGGCGGCGGAAUUCCCGGUGUAGAGGUGAAAUUCGUAGAUAUCGGGAGGAACACCAGCGGCGAAGGCGGCCGCCUGGACGGUCACUGACGCUGAGACGCGAAAGCGUGGGGAGCAAAC
rnacentral:rRNA from 1 species